rnacentral:rRNA from 1 species
AGCAGUCGCCACGGUAAUACGAAGGGCGCAAGCGUUAAUCGGAAUUACUGGGCGUAAAGCGUGCGUAGGCGGUGAGUUAAGUCUGCUGUGAAAUCCCCGGGCUCAACCUGGGAAUGGCAGUGGAUACUGGCUCGCUAGAGUGUGUCAGAGGAUGGUGGAAUUCCCGGUGUAGCGGUGAAAUGCGUAGAGAUCGGGAGGAACAUCAGUGGCGAAGGCAGCCACCUGGUCCACUUCUGACGCUGAGGCACGAAAGCGUGGGGAGCAAACAGGAUUAGAUACCCCAGUAGUCCCUGUCUCUUAUAA